rnacentral:siRNA from 1 species
UGUGUCACAUUUUACACUGGUCCC